ensembl:piRNA 21ur-12061 ncRNA
UUCCGGGAAUUCAAAUUUUAA